rnacentral:rRNA from 1 species
CCCACCCCCAGGCCCCAUGAGAGGGUAGUAUUUCUUCCCCAUUUCCUCUGCGGACUGGGCUUCCCACUUCAUCCCUUUGUCCAGGGGCUCAUGUUCUACUACGGCCUAGAUUUCCAUGAUCUGGCCCCGAAUUUCAUCCUCAACAUCUCGGCGUUUAUCGUCGUGUGCGAGGCCUUCCUCUGCAUCCAGCCCCACUUCGGCUUGUGGCUCAAGACCUUCAGUGUCAAGCCGAAGGUUGUGAAGGGCAGCCAAGCGGAGUGCGGAGGCGCCAUGGUGCGCAGGAUGUCCCACGUUACGUGGCUGGAGGGCACUUUCGUGGAAACCAUCAAGGGGUGGCAAUCGGGGUGGUUCUACAUCACCGAGCCGCGUGACCCUGAUUGGGCAGCGGCCCCCGAAUUCAGAUCCGGCAUCCCUACA